CGGCCGGGUUCGAUACGGUGCAUGUUGUCAGUGGCCCUGAAGCCCAACAGAAGAAGGAGGAGACAUUGUAAACAGAAGAUUAGUCAUGUAUUUUAAGACAAAAUUUGAUGUCCCGCAGCUGACAAGGUUUGCAGCACACUGCUAUAAUGACUGCAGACAGUGGCUACCUACAGCACUCUCUCAUCAAACAUCUUGAGGGCAUUCAUGUCAACUAUGGCAAGACUUCAUAACAGUAACAUGCAACAGGUGUUUGAUGACUUGCCCAUAUGCCUCUUCUUGCCAAGUAUUUGACCCAGGAUUGUGUCAGCAUGUACUGAGGGGCCAGCAAGAUGAUUACUGAAUGAAGAUGGCAGAGAGAGUGUCACAUUAUAUGGAAGACACCUGAGGGCUUAAUCCCAAGCCUGUGUACCACCAUAACAACAUACUGGAGUAAGAGCAAAAAGGCACAAUACCAUAAAUGGAACAAUACACAACCCACAUAUAGGAGAGAGGAGCUACGACGGUGUUUCGGUCCAACUUGGACCAUUUACAAAGUACUGGAGUGAAAGAGAUGGAUCUAAACACUACCAUAAAAAUUAACUGGAAUGAGAGAGAUAUUAACCCUUAAAUGGUCCAAACGUAUAUAUACGUUUUUUCAACAUCUGAAAGUAUGUAAAAAAAUGUAGAUCUUUUUUGUUUUACAUUUGAAAACGUGUAAAAAAAACUUUUAUCUACAUUUUUUUUUGUUAUAUUUGAAAAUAUGUAAAAAAAAAAGUAGAUCUACUUUUGUAGCAUUAUGAAUUUGAACAUCGAUCUGUUUGGACCGUUUAAGGGUUAAGUUAAAAAUAGACCCAGUGAAAAGCAGGGAUGUCUUGGGCACAAUUAGGCAACACUGUGUCAACAUCCAUAAUCCAAGACUAUUCAGUCUGCUACCAGCAGAUAUCAGAAAUUUUGCCAGAACAAGUGUAGUUUUUAAUAGGAGACCACUAUCUGCCAGAUCACUCAGGCUGUAAAGGAACCUGUCCUCUACCCUAGUUGCUAUAGUACCCAUACAGGUUUAGCACUCCUCUCUCUAGUGUAAUAGUGGGUGAGUGGGGUAUAGGUAUUUGUGCCUUGACACCAGUGAUGGGAUCUUGAGCCAUGGAAUAGGAGCUUACCUCCCUGUCCUUGGACUAAAUAUGAUUGCAUCCCAUACUCCCAAGGCAAUGUAUGACCUUUUAAGUGUUUAUUGCUCCCUCAUGAAUGAAAAAAAAUAGGCUUUUUUCAUCACAAAAAUCCCUGAAUGGACCGUAUUUUAACUGCCUUAACCUUUCUGCCUUUGUUAUGAUUUAUAUAAUUACUGGGAUGCUUGUAGGAACUUCAGGGGGACUUUUUAAUUACUGGGAUGAUACAUGGUAAUCUCUCCAAUAGUCUAUUUGGAUUUCACAAGGGCCGCUUAACUAUUGACCCCUUACUCCGCUUAGAUACCUAUUUUCAUAAUGCCUUUGCUAGUAACAUUCAGUUAUUGCAGUCUUUUUUGAUCUUGAAAAGUCAUAUGACAUUACUUGUAGAUAUAACAACUUGGCCCAAUCUCAUUCCUUAGGCCUCUGAGGCAGUCUGCCAUUUUUCCUUAAAAACUUCUUAUCUGAGAGACAUUUCCAUGUUUGGGUAAAUAAUUUGCUUUUUCCGGACUUUGUCCAAGCUGAAGGUGUUCCUCAGGAAUGUGUACUUUCCACACUUUUUCUCCUUGCUAUAAAUUAUCUGGCAGUGUAUGACCUUUGUCGGUUUAGUGAUUUCUUUGAUUAUAAUAAAUGAUCUAGCCUUUGUUCUCCUAUCUAAUAUUUGGUAAUCACUGUAUGUUGAUGACUGCCACAUAAGUAGCACCAUCCAGGAUGUUGUCAACUGUGUUUCCCAUUGGGCCACUACUCAUGGGUUUAAAUUUUCUGGUGCUAAAAUGCACCAAAUUACUUUCACCAGAUGUUCUAUUGUCUCUGAUACUCCAUUAUACCUGUAUGGCUCCCAUAUCCCUGAAUGUGAUAUGAUCAGAUUUCUCAUCCUUCUGUUUGAUCACUGGCUGUCCUGAAAACCUCUCAUUACCUGCCUGAAAGCAACUUGCCAUAGCCGGCUGAACCUCCUUAGAACCCUCGCUCAUCUUUCGUGGGGGUGGAUCGUAAAAACCACCUUCAGUCCUAAUUUUAUUGAAACUAGACUAUGGGGACCAGUAUAUUCUGCAGCCUCCCCCACAAUUCUCUAAACUUGAUCCCAUCUAUCAUCAGGGACUACAUUAAUGUCUAGGUGCUUUUCGCUCCUCACAAUCGCCGUGAUACCCAUUGCCUCUUGUUGUUUUGUCUGCUCUUGUGACCUUCACAGUCCUUCUACAUACAGGCUAGUAACGGACAUUAGUAGAGGUCCAUUAUUUGUUCAUUCCAUCCCUUUGCUCUUUGUCUUCACUCUUAACUUCUCUUCAGUUGCCCCCUCUAUAUGUUCAUCUAGCAUCUAGGUCUGUCCUCCCCCUCAUGUCUAUUUUUCCCCACUGCCGUGCAUGAAGGUUCAAAUACCUACAGUUGCAUCUUGCUCCCUUUUUCUCAACCACUUCCAGUCUCAUUCUCAUGCCAUUGCAGUGUACAUUGAUGGUUCUAAAUCCUCUCAUGGUGCCAGGUUUGCAGCAUUGUAUGCGGUCAUUUAUUAGACUUCACAUUUUUACAGUUGACCUGGCAGUUCUCAUUGCAAUUAUCCAUAUUGCAUCUAAGUCUGCCUAAACAUUUGUAGUAGUCUCUGACUAGUGCUUUGCAAGCUAUUAAAAAAUUUGAUUUGCCUUAUCCCCUAGUUCUUAUACAACUUUGUGCUGCAUUUGUAGCAGAAUCAAAGAAUAUUCUGCUGAGUCCCUGGUCAUAUUGAUGUUCAGGGCAAUGAGUAGGCGGACUGCUGUAAUCUUUAACCUCACAUCAGCCGUUGGUCUGAUAUGACUAAUAAAUAUUCCAUCAAGCCAUGUUUAGGUUUCUGGCCUUAUCAGUGAUACUGAGAUUGGGAGACUACGCUCUCCCAUCUUACUCAUGAGUAUCUCGUGGACGUGCCCUGUUUCACUCUGAAGUUCCAAUUUCAGUGUGCCACAUUCAACAAGCAUGCAAAAUUUACCUCCAUUACCACUAACACCCUUUAGCUUGCCUCCUUCCUCUCCCCCUUUGACUUGUAGGUUUAGCACUUUUUUUUUUUAUUAUAUUCCUUGACUUUUUGACAGCAUCCAAUUUAUUACACAAACUUUGAUAAUACUUCAACACUCCUCACAGCCCUUUUUAACUCUUGUUCUUCUCUUCUUCCCUGGUUCUCCUCUCCAGCAACAUCCCCGUCUCUCAUUGCUGUAUGACCCUGGUGGGUUUAGGGCUUUUUUUUAUUACAAGUCUUGGUGUUCUCUCUCAUGGCAGUAAUUUCAUAUCUAGCAGGCAGUGUGUUUGAUGCACUUUCGUUUGAUCAAGUGUAUUAUUAUUAUUAUAAUCAAGGGGGAAGCGCUAAACCCGGAGGAUUAUACAGCGCCUGGGGGGGGGGAUGUGGAAGGCAUUCAGGCUUAAUUCAGGGAACUGGAGCACAGAUCCAAUUCCCUAAAUCAAGAGCCCCUCACCAACAUCAAGGAACCUUCUUUGUGUAAUCCUUUUGAUUUUGUCUGGUGUUAGGGCUUGCCAAUAUGAACUUAAAAAUGUAGCAUAAGAUAUCUUAAAACCUUUUGUAAUUGAUGUUUGUCUAUUUUAGCCUUUCCCACUUUUGAAGAACUCCCAGUCUGAGGAAUUUUAUAUACCCUAGUGGGUUUAGUGCUUGGUUUUGAUCAUGCCAGAAAAUCUAUGGGAAUUUCACUCCAAUUUACUAUGCUGAUUGCAACUGUAUUUUUGUGACAGGCACUUUUCACAACUCAGGUGGGUGGACAGUGAACACAUGACAUUCUAGGUUUUAUUACAGAAUGAAAAUACCACACACCUCAACUGCAACUUUUCAUAUAAAAAUAAAGGGUCAAAGCACUGUGCAACUUUCCAUAACUGCAUUGAAAAUUGAUGCAUUAUAAUGGCCUUUCCAUCCACUUUUCAAUUGCAACCCAGAAAAAUUCCACAACUCAGAAUCUGAGAGAACUACAAAAUUUAUGCUAACACGCAUGCCCUCAAUCUCAAGAUGGUGGAUAAAUGAACAGGGAUUAAGCAUGCUGAACUAAAGACAAGGAGCCUUCCACAAAAUUAAGGCAAAUUACUCUACAAACCUUGUUGAUUUAUCCACUAAGAUUCUCAUGUAUCUAAUAAGCUAACAUAGGACAACUAAGCACUAAACCUACAAGGGUCAUACAGCACUGCAGUGCAGUGAAAAAUAAAAGCACUUGAAGUGUAUACACGUCAGCCAUCUCCCGAGGCAGGGUGACUCAAAAUAGAACACUUUCACCAUCAUUCAUACAGUGUCUUUGCAGAGGUGCUUAGAUACAACAGUUUAGAUGCCACUCCAAAUAGCCGGUAUCUCAAACCCCUGGAAAGUGCUUCUCACCUCCAGGACUCGAGUCUGGCUAAUUGCCAGACUGAGUCAUGUCCCAAAAACCCAUUUGUCUCUAGUCACAUGCUCACACAUGCCUGCUGUAUGUCCAAGCCUCUUGCACACAAAACUUCCUUUACCCCUCCCUCCAUCAUGCACCCUCCAAAUCCUAUUUUGGUCCAUCCUCUAAAUGACCAAAUCUCUUUUCAGCCCUCUGAAUAAUGCUUUUAAUAACUCCACACCUAACUUCCAAACUAUGAAUUCUCUGCAUAAUAUUUAUGCCACACAUUGCUCUCAGACACAUCUCCACUGCUUCCAGCCUCCCCACUGUAACAUUUACAACCCAUGCUUCACACCCAAAUAAGUGUUGGUACCACUAUACUCUCAUAUUUGCCAUUUGGAGGGUCAUCUAAACUGUCGUAUAUAUGCUCCUCUGGCAAGACAGUGGUAGUAUGAAUGAUGGCGAGUGAUUUUUUCAGGUCACCCUACUUCAGGAGACAGCCUGUAUUUAUGUGCAUCCUGAGUCCAAUGACUGUUGAACUUGUACUGAUUGUCUCUGUAUUUAGAGUGGGCUUGGCAAAAACCAUACUUUGGUUUUACAGGGAUGCAAGAUUGCAGAUUGGUGGAGGCAGCCAAGAAUGUGAAGUUGAUGGCUACCACUGGAGAGGCACUCAGAACAACUUCAUAUUCAACCUGAAAAUUAAUACCAUAAUGUAAUUCAUAUGGCUCAUUAAUGCUGCAAUUUACUCCUACACUAUCAAAAAAACUGUACUUUAAUAACAAAAAUAUGGAAAGCUCCUAGCAAAAUGUACUACAACUUUCUGAUCUUGUUCCAGCACUGACCCACUAUUGGUAAAGAAAACUUUUAAUUAAGAAUGGAACAAUACCAAUUUUUUUGCCAAUCCACUACUAAAUUUUAGUCCAUUACUAAUAAUAACAUCAAAAUUAGCCAAUACUAAUUGGUACCAAUGCUGAUACCAUCAAAAUUUUCUCAUACUAACUGAUCCCAGUACUAAUACGAAUAUCAAAAUUUCCUGAUACUAGCUGAUCUCUGUACCAAGUACAGUGGAACCUCUUACUUGCGAGUUUAAUCCAUUCCAUGACCUUGCUCACAACUGGAUUUGCUCGUUUGCAGAGUCAAUUUUCCUCAUUUAAAUUAAUUGAAAUGCAAUUAAUCCGUUCCAGUGGAAUUUUGUACUUCAAUAAUUUCGCUAAUAUCAACUCUACAGCUUAUUUAUCUAUCAGAGUUCAUCUAAUAUGACAUAAACAAUAUGAAUAACACAGAAACAUGAUAUAUACUCUAGAAUGAAUAAAAUAUGUCAUUCAUGUAGUGGUAUGAGCGGUGUCGGCGGUGGACAAGAGUUUGGAGACCGGGCAAAAUACUUCAUGAAUAAUUUCGCUAAUAUCAUCUAUAUGGCUUAUUUAUCUAUCACAGUUCAUCUGACAUAACAAUAUAAAUAAAAUAGAAACAUGAUAUAUACUCUACAAUGAAUAAAAUAUGUCAUUAUGUAACAGGUAGAGGCGGCCACAACCGCUCCCUCUUUGUUGUGGUAAACACUGCCAUGUAGUGAUGGCCUUUUGAAGCUAUUAUUAUAUGUAGUACAUUAUUAUUAUUAUAAGUAUUAUUAUACAUAUUAUUAUUAUUGUAUUAUAUUAUUAUACAAUUAUGAGGAAGGGUUGUUGAGGUGGUUCGGACAUGUAGAGAGAAUGGAGCGAAACAGAAUGACUUCAAGAGUGUAUCAGUCUGUAGUGGAAGGAAGGCCUAGGAAAGGUUGGAGGUAAAGGAGGUUUUGUGUGCGAGGGGCUUGGACUUCCAGCAGGCGUGCGUGAGCGUGUUUGAUAGGAGUGAAUGGAGACAAAUGGUUUUUAAUACUUGACGUGCUGUUGGAGUGUGAGCAAAGUAACAUUUGUGAAGGGGUUCAGGGAAACCGGCAGGCCGGACUUGAGUCCUGGAGAUGGGAAGUACAGUGCCUGCACUCUGAAGGAGGGGUGUUAAUGUUGCAGUUUAAAGCACCCUUCUGGCAAGACAGUGAUGGAGUGAAUGAUGGUGAAAGUUUUUCUUUUUCGGGCCACCCUGCCUUGGUGGGAAUCGGCCAGUGUGAUAAAAAAAAAAAAAAAUAUUAUAUAAAUAAUUUGUAACUUUUAUUCACACAAAAAAUAUAAGAUUCACCGUUAUUCCUUAUUGCAAUAAUUGUAUAAAUAAUGUCAACCCAUUCACGGCUGCAUAUUGAAACAGCCAAGCAAUGGACCAUUUCUCCUAGGUUGAGCUCUAUUUCAAGGUACUUUUCAUUGUGAAAGCAAUCAAAAUCAUAUCUAUUUCUGUAAUAUAUCUUCCUUUCUAUCAAAUGAGACCAAAAAAACGAGAAUACAACCAUAAAAACCAUUCAAAAUUACCACUAAGGGGUGGCUAAUUGCUGAGAAGUGAACUCCAUUACUUAUGCUUAGAUUUCUUUCAUUUUUGGUGUAUGUUAAGAAGGAUCUUUCCACCAUACAUUGCCCAAGUUUCAAUAAGAUAGUCCAACAAACAAGAGAUACAAUUCCCGAGAUCAAGAACAAGAGCCCCUCACCAGUGUCAAAGAACCUGCCUUGAGGUCUGCUCGCUUGUGGAAAUUUUGCUCGUGUAUGGAAGCAAACAAUCGACCCAUCAACUGCUCGUAUUUGGAAAAACUCGCAUGUGGACACGCUCACAAGUAGAGGUUCCACUGUACCAAGGUUAUUAGCAUCUGAAAUUGAAGAGAAUCUUUUUAAGGUGACACCAAAAGUAUGAAAUUUGAUGGAAAACUCACAGAAUUAUGCAGGUGCAAAGUUAGCAUUCUCAGUGCAGUUUCUCCCAUUGAGUCCUAUUUUAGGCCAAUUCCAUUGUUCCAGUCUACCAAAUUCUUAGCUAUUUCACUAGUAUGCCUUCCAUUCUACCAAGCACAAGAAACUGUCCAUUCAACUAUCCUAUAAAGUGAUCAGAAUUCAGUAAUUUGGCAUCCCAAUAACUGAAUCAGACCUAUUAAAACCCCAUAAAACAGAUUUGAGGUUGUAGGAGGUCCUACCAUCCUGUGGAAUAUCAGCAAAAACUGAAUAUUUCCCCUGCUUUAAGCUCAACUUCAAGCUACUUACUGUCCUGAAACCAAUCAUCUCUAUUUCAAUAUAUAAAAUACCAAGAAACAGCCAAUGAACCCAUAAAAAUCAUCAGAGAACACACCUCAAAUUCACCAUUUUAAACCAUGCUCACAGUCAUUUUGUUUUUCCCAUCAUGCACCACAUGAGGCAGGAUUUUUUACAUUGUGCACAUCUACUGCAGAGACCCAUUCUCUCGUAUCUAUACCAAAAUUUACCACUCACAGCUUACCUGAGUGAACUGAGCUCAAGACUACGGCAGGUGCCCUAGUAGGGGAAACAGAGAGAGAUCUCUGAGCAUUAGGAUCAGGAACACGAGUGCCUGCUACAGGCAAUGACUAAAAACGAGUGUGUCUGUGGCAUGCAAAGAGUACGUAACCUUUAUUCGGCGCAUGUACACACCCUCAUUUACAGGCUAUCUCCCCCAACCAGCAAACCAGGUGACUGAGAGUUGACGAUGGGGCCCCGUCAUUCAACCAGUACCCAGGUUCCAGCCAAUGAGAAGAUGGUUUUGGCAAUCGCAGAGGUUAUGUGGGUACCACUCUCCUGUCUGCCCUUGUCAUUCCCAUUCUAGAGCUGGUUGAAGCAUGGUCUGCUCUCUAGUGGUUUCUAUUCUGCCUUGCUUACCAUGGAGUGCACUAAUACCUAUCACUGUACAUAGUGUAUAUAGUGUACAUACUUCUGUUCUAAAUUGGUGAAGGAUAAUAUAAGUCAAAAGUUU